rnacentral:rRNA from 1 species
AUUGAACGCUGGCGGUAUGCUUAACACAUGCAAGUCGAACGGUAGCAGGCCUUCGGGCGCUGACGAGUGGCGGACGGGUGAGUAAUGCAUAGGAAUCUGCCUUUUAGUGGGGGAUAACGUGNGGAAGCUCACGCUAAUACCGCAUACGUCCUACGGGAGAAAGCGGGGGCUCUUCGGACCUCGCGCUAAAAGAUGAGCCUAUGUUGGAUUAGCUAGUUGGUAGGGUAAAGGCUUACCAAGGCGACGAUCCAUAGCUGGUCUGAGAGGAUGAUCAGCCACACUGGGACUGAGACACGGCCCAGACUCUUACGGGAGGCAGCAGUGGGGAAUAUUGGACAAUGGGCGGAAGCCUGAUCCAGCAAUACCGCGUGUGUGAAGAAGGCCUGAGGGUUGUAAAGCACUUUCAAUGGGAAGGAAUACCUUUCGGCUAAUACCUGGAAGACUGACAUUACCCAUAGAAGAAGCACCGGCUAACUCCGUGCCAGCAGCCGCGGUAAUACGGAGGGUGCGAGCGUUAAUCGGAAUUACUGGGCGUAAAGCGUGCGUAGGCGGUUCGUUAAGUCAGAUGUGAAAGCCCUGGGCUCAACCUGGGAACUGCAUUUGAUACUGGCGACCUAGAGUUGAGUAGAGGAGAGUGGAAUUUCAGGUGUAGCGGUGAAAUGCGUAGAGAUCUGAAGGAACACCAGUGGCGAAGGCGGCUCUCUGGACUCAAACUGACGCUGAGGUACGAAAGCGUGGGUAGCAAACAGGAUUAGAUACCCUGGUAGUCCACGCCGUAAACGAUGUCAACUAACCGUUGGGUUCUUAAAGAACUUAGUGGUGGAGCUAACGUAUUAAGUUGACCGCCUGGGGAGUACGGCCGCAAGGCUAAAACUCAAAUGAAUUGACGGGGGCCCGCACAAGCGGUGGAGCAUGUGGUUUAAUUCGAUGCAACGCGAAGAACCUUACCUACCCUUGACAUCCAGAGAAU